rnacentral:rRNA from 1 species
CGCCUUUUGAAAUUUUAACAUGAAAGGUCUCGCCUGCCCAGUGAUAUAUUCAACGGCCGCGGUAUUAUGACCGUGCAAAGGUAGCGUAAUCACUUGUCUCUUAAAUAGGGACCAGUAUGAACGGCGAAACGAGGGCCCAACUGUCUCACUAAAUUAGUCAGUGAAAUUGAUUUUCCCGUGCAGAAGCGGAAAUAAUUAUAUAAGACGAGAAGACCCUGUGGAGCUUUAGACCCAAGCUAAUAUAAUAUAUAGCAACCCGUUUUAGGUUGGGGCGACCGAGAGGCAAAUAAACCCUCAGGACUACAAAAAGAAGGACACUUCCAGUAAAUAGUAACACUAACAUUUGACCCAAUAAUUUGAUCAACGAACCAAGUUACCCCAGGGAUAACAGCGCAAUCCUCUCAUAGAGCCCAUAUCGACGAGCGGGUUUACGACCUCGAUGUUGGAUCAGGGCCCCCAAACGGCGCAACCGCUGUUAAAGGUUCGUUUGUUCAACGAUUAAAGCCCU